rnacentral:rRNA from 1 species
UAACGUGUGGGCAACCUGCCCUGUACUGGGGAAUAAUCAUUGGAAACGAUGACUAAUACCGCAUGUGGUCCUCGGAAGGCAUCUUCUGAGGAAGAAAGGAUUUAUUCGGUACAGGAUGGGCCCGCAUCUGAUUAGCUAGUUGGUGAGAUAACAGCCCACCAAGGCGACGAUCGGUAGCCGGACUGAGAGGUUGAACGGCCACAUUGGGACUGAGACACGGCCCAG